rnacentral:tRNA from 1 species
GCCCAGAUAGCUCAGUAGGUAGAGCAGCGGACUGAAAAUCCGCGUGUCCGUGGUUCGAAUCCGCGUCUGGGCA